UUUAUGGAGGGUUUGAUCCUGGCUCAGGAUGAACGCUGGCGGCGUGCCUAAUACAUGCAAGUCGAGCGAACGGACGAGAAGCUUGCUUCUCUGAUGUUAGCGGCGGACGGGUGAGUAACACGUGGAUAACCUACCUAUAAGACUGGGAUAACUUCGGGAAACCGGAGCUAAUACCGGAUAAUAUUUUGAACCGCAUGGUUCAAAAGUGAAAGACGGUCUU
rnacentral:rRNA from 1 species